rnacentral:rRNA from 1 species
GCUUGGCCAUAAACUAAGGUAACACAAACACACCACUACCCGCCAGAGAACUACAAGUGAAAAACUUAAAACUCCAAGGACUUGGCGGUGCCCCACAUCAACCUAGAGGAGCCUGUCCUAUAAUCGAUAAUCCACGCUCCACCCAACCAUCUUUCGCCAUCAGCCUAUAUACCGCCGUCGUCAACCCACCCUAUGAAAGGAGCACAGUGGGUAAAAUAGUUAUUAACUAACACGUCAGGUCAAGGUGUAGCACAUGAGAUGGAAGAGAUGGGCUACAUUUUCUAUUGCAGAAAACACGAACAGCUCAAUGAAACUUGGGCUAAAAGGCGGAUUUAGAAGUCAGAUAAACCAACAUUUUUAUCUUAACCUCGCUCUGGGGCGCGC